rnacentral:lncRNA from 1 species
AAUUAAGUUGAUACGUGACCAAGGCAGCUUUGAAGCCUUUCUGAAGAAUCCUUCCUCCUUCUGCAGGAUGUUUAAUCUUUCUGUGGAAUUUCUGACUAUGAACCUCAUUCUGCAGACUUUCAUUCUUGUGCCAUACAGAUGAGUAAGAAUUGCUCAGGUAACUGGAAGAUACAAGGAACUAUGGCAAAUUCAGUCCCUGUUACAUCUGUGUGUGACAGGCACAAUUACACCAGAGGGACCAAACUACAGCCUUUCCAUUCUGGGUUCUCUAAAGAUCGGCUGCAAGUAGAACGCUGUCAUGUG